AAAAUUUUUAAUUUUUAUCAGAAAAAAAAAUUAAAGAAAAAAAUUGCUGCAGACUCACAUAACAGAGGGCCUUCUUAUCUUGAAUAUAUAUGGGAAUUUUUCACUGGAUUCCUCUACUAGAGAGAAAUAUAUUUGUCCAAAGAAUAGGGACAAUCUUCGGAUUUAUAGGAGAUGCCAGUCAACAUUCCAUCCAACAAAUAGCCAUGCUAAAGUUGAAAGAGGUAUCCAGGC
rnacentral:lncRNA from 1 species